AUGUCCUGGGUUCAAUUGGACAGUCCCAGUCCCUCCUACCGGUGUCUCAACAGCCUCUACUCGCUCAGCAGCCAGGUCACCGUCCCGGCCAGCAGCUGGACGUCUAACACCUAUAACUGCACCGUAGAGCACCAGCCCACCAGCUCCAGCAUGUCCAAGGAAAUCCCAAAGCCCCCCAAACCCCAGGCCCCCAGUACACCCCAGAUGAAAAACGGCUCCAACCCCAGCCGAGACCCCGUCCAGCUGGCGUGCUUCAUCUCCGGCUUCUACCCUGAGAAUUUGACGGUGGAAUGGAUGGAAUGGAUGGUUGACGGCCAGCCCAGGAAACUUCCUAGUGUCACUGCCCUUGCCACGAAGGACCCCAACGGCCCCACCUACAGCACCCACUGCAAUGCCAGUGUCUCCAAGGCCGACUGGCGAAAGGUCUACUUAUACACGUGCCAGGUGUCCCAGCCGGGCACCCCCGUCAAAUCGCAGGGCCACACCAACAAGUGCAGAGAAGAAACAUCUCCCGGCGAUAUCCAGGUCUUCCUGGUGCCCCCGUCUCCCGCCGACUUGUACGUGGCCCAGAGCCCCAUGCUCACCUGCCUGGUGGUCAACCUGCCUAGCAACUCCGGCCUCCAGGUGGUCUGGUCCCGGGAGAAGACAGAGUCUGUUGUCCCUGAACCCCUGACCCUCACUGAGCAGUUCAACAGCACCUUCACCGCCUCCAGCUCCAUGCCCAUCUUCACCCGCGACUGGGAGGCCGGAGAGACCUUCACCUGCAAAGUGGAGCACUCAGAGCUGCCCUCGUCCCUCACCAAAUCGAUGUCCAAGAAGCCAGGCAGGCGCUCUGGCCCUGGCAUCUACCUCCUGCACCCCCACAAUGAGGAGUUGAGCAGCUCUAGAGACUCCAUCAGCCUCACCUGUCUGGUGCGGGGCUUUUUCCCCGAGGACAUCUCAGUGCAGUGGAUGAAGAACCACAAACCCGAUGAGAGCUUGGAAUAUAUCACCACUCCGACCAUCAAGGACGGAGCAGGCGACUCGAACUUCUUCCUCUACAGCAAGCUGAAAGUCAGCAAGGCCAGCUGGAACAGAGGGGACGUCUACACCUGCAUGGUCACCCACGAAGCCCUGCAGAUGAAGUUCACCCAACGCAGCAUCAGCAAAGUCUCUGAGGUGAUCGUGUCAGGUGAGUUUUGCAGCGAGGACGGAGACGAGGAGCUAGACGGCCUCUGGUCCACCAUCUCGGUCUUCAUCACCCUCUUCCUCUUGAGCGUGUGCUACAGCGCCACCAUGACCCUGUUCAAGGUGAAGUGGCUUUUCUCUGCCAUGGGGGAGCUGAAUCAGGCGAGUGGCCCCGAGUACAAGAACGAGAUCCAGAGCGUGGUGUAGGGGCCACUGCCCCCAUCCGCCCGGAGACAAGGGGCUGACACACCCGGCUCCAUUGGCGACACCACCCUGAGUCCCACAGCUGCCCCCUGCUAGCGCUGUGCCCCUGGGAGAGCCCCCGGGGGGAGACAGGACCUCACCCCACGUGGCCUAAUCAGCCCUCAGCCACUGGGGACGCUGCCCUGCUCAGAGCUUGGCUGAGACCGGACAACUCAUAUCAUGCAGGGAGCCAGCGCCCCUAGCGAGGAAACAACCCCUCUCCCCCUUCCCACCCUCCUGAGCCCAACAGUCCCUGCUCUGGGGCUGGAUCAGAGCCAGCGCCCCCUAGAGGGGAGAGGCCCCACGUCCCUGCCCCACCCCCUGCGCCAGCCAGCCCCCCGCCCUGGGGCAGGACCAGAGCCAGAGUUGUGUCGGUCAUGCUGUAUGUUGCAUAUUUAGCUCUUCA